rnacentral:rRNA from 1 species
UGGGGAAUCUUGCACAAUGGGCGCAAGCCUGAUGCAGCAACGCCGCGUGCGGGAAGACGGCCCUAGGGUUGUAAAACUCUUUCGCUAGGGAAGAUAAUGACGGUACCUAGUAAAGAAGUCCCGGCUAACUCCGUGCCAGCAGCCGCGGUAAUACGGAGGGGACUAGCGUUGUUCGGAAUUACUGGGCGUAAAGCGCACGUAGGCGGACCAGAAAGUUGGGGGUGAAAUCCCGGGGGCUCAACCCCGGAACUGCCUCCAAAACUAUUGGUCUAGAGUUCGAGAGAGGUGAGUGGAAUUCCAAGUGUAGAGGUGAAAUUCGUAGAUAUUUGGAGGAACACCAGUGGCGAAGGCGGCUCACUGGCUCGAUACUGACGCUGAGGUGCGAAAGUGUGGGGAGCAAACAGGAUUAGAUACCCUGGUAGUCCACACCGUAAAACGAUGAAUGCCAGUCGUCGGGUAGCAUGCUAUUCGGUGACACACCUAACGGAUUAAGCAUU